GAGAGAUGAACCAUUUGGAAUAGAGCUCAUUUCAAGGCAAUGUUUCCAAUGUUUGCGCUUUUUCUAUCCCCCAAAUGCUGAGAGAACUCUAGACGAGCAGUCCAGACGCUAAAUAGAUCAGUCCUCUGCUCUAUAGGGGUAGUGGGAGUCUAUAGUGUGGUCGGUAAGGGAGUGGACUGAUCACCUGAGUUCUGACGGCUUGGGCCAGUGUCACCUCAGGUCACACCAAGCAGAAGGUUCUCAGGAAUAUCAUGCAUGUACCAGAAAGAGAACCGAAAAUCUUGACGCCAGAAAGAAGGGCUUCUGGCCUGUGCAUCUGCCACCUGGAGCAGACCAAAUCCACAUCCUAAGACACAGGAAUCUCAGAGGACCAGGUGAGGGGCUAGGACCGUGAUCACAAGGAAGAUCCAGGAUGACCAUGGGCCCUGAGCUGCAGGUUGGCACACGCUGGUGCAGGCUGGCCCUGGGUGAAACUAAGUUGAUGAGCCUUCCAAAAGGCUUUAGCGAAAAGUUGCCCUCUUGGGACCAUCCGAAUUUCCUUUUGACAGAUUCCCCACAGCCAGUGAAAAUGUGAAGAAACACAGAAUUAUGCAUUGAUGUGCUGAAUAGUAAGCCAGCCCAAGACACCCCCAGCACAGGUUCUAAAAUCAAUCAUCAGUAUACUUGGGCAGGUAAUCACAUAACUGACAUAGGUCCCUUAUCCCCUUGGGCGUGUCAUUAAGCCCCGUGGAUUGGGUGCUUCAUUCUUUGACUACUUAGGAACAAUGCCCUGCAGCUGGAGUAAAAGGAAUAUAAAAAUAUAUACAAUUUAGCAAACCACAAACAGGCAGGGAGCAACAAGUGCCUGGUUGCCCACCCCCCAUGGGCUGUAAAUUCACCCCAGCCCCACUUCCAGGACACUGUGUUCUCUUCUAAGGCCCACCAUGGAAUGAGUGGCUGGACCAGGGCAGGUCCAUAUUAAGGGGUAGUGAUGAGAUGGCCACAUAAGCACCCAAGGAUGGAGGAGGGGUCACCACACAGGCUCAAGGUCUAAGACAGCCAGCCACCUGCCCCAUGUGUCUACUUGGGCUGAACCUUAGCCCUGACCCCCCGUCUUUCAAUGAAGAGAGUGAGAGUCGCCAAGGCUAUGUGAGAAAAGAACAUCAAGGCAAUGCUGGUUUCUGAUUACACAACAAAACUUGAAAUAAGGAAACGCUAUUUUCUCUUGAAAAUAGAAUAUAUUCAAACUUAAUUUUUAUCCUUAUAAGUAAUUUUGAAUAUACCUUGAAAAACUUAAAUUUCCUAGCUGCUUAUUAAUUUUAGCCAAGCUGUGGAGUGAAAUUAUCAGCAUUUGGAUUGUUAUGAGGAAAUAACUAAAAAGUGAUUAAAAGAUACGGCUACGAGUUUGCCUAUUAUUUAAUUUCCUAAUAUUCUG
rnacentral:lncRNA from 10 species